rnacentral:lncRNA from 1 species
UAAGAUUGAUGAACUCAUGCCAUGGACUAGGCACAAAGCCUGGUUAAGGUUUUGAUUUCGAUUAAUUUAUUUUUUUUUUAUUUUGAUUAAGAUUUUGAUUUUGAUUAAGGUUUUGGGACACCAGUUAAGGUGUCUCUGCAAGAAGAAAAAAAAAAAAAAAAAAAAAAAAAAAAAAAAAAAAAAAAAAAAAAAAAAAAAAAAAAAAAAAAAAAAAAGAAAAAAGAAAAAAGAAAAAAAGAAAAUAGAAAAAAGAAAAAAAGAAAAAAGAAAAAAGAAGAAGUAGUCAGCCAAGCAAGGUUUGUGGAUGUACACUGGCAGAAAGUUGAACCUGGAAAUGAAGAGUGCUCAUAAGAAUUUGACUAACAGAAUAAAAACUUGGAGGAGGUUUACUUUAGCA